AUAUCCCUGCGGUGUUUGUUAGAGAGUUAUUUAAAAGAACCUAGACUUAUUAAAGGGACGCUAUACUUUCUAAUUGUCUGAGGAUGAUUAGAAGUGGUACCCACGUUGUGGAGCGGUUCACCUUUAAGUUCUCUCGACGGCAUAUGCGGGGAUAUU
rnacentral:other from 1 species